rnacentral:tRNA from 1 species
GGGCGGUUAGCUCAGCGGUAGAGCAUUGCCUUCACACGGCAAGAGGUCACAGAGGUUACGAACCCAGUACCGCCCACCC